rnacentral:rRNA from 1 species
ACGGGUGAGUAACACGUAGGUAACCUACCCCAGAGACAGGGAUAACCCUAGGAAACGAGGGCUAAUACCGGAUGACCUCCGGAAGGAGGAAAGGCUCAGGCGCUCUGGGAGGGGCUUGCGGCCCAUCAGCUAGUUGGUAGGGUAAAGGCCUACCAAGGCGAAGACGGGUAGGGGGUGUGAGAGCACGGCCCCCCACAAUGGGACUGAAACACGGCCCAUACUCCUACGGGAGGCAGCAGCAGGGAAUAUUGCACAAUAGGCGAAAGCCUGAUGCAGCGACGCCGCGUGAGUGAAGAAGGCCUUCGGGUCGUAAAGCUCUUUUGUAGGGGAAGAGGAAGGACGGUACCCUAAGAAGAAGCGUCGGCUAACUACGUGCCAGCAGCCGCGGUAAGACGUAGGACGCGAGCGUUAUCCGGAAUUACUGGGCGUAAAGGGCCAGCAGGCGGCUUGGUAAGUUGUGCGUGAAAGCCUCGUGCUCAACGCGAGGAAGCCGGACAAUACUGUCAAGCUAGAGGGCAUCAGAGGGGAGUGGAAUUCCCGGAGUAGCGGUAAAAUGCGCAGAUAUCGGGAGGAACACCGAUGGCGAAGGCAGCUCCCUGGGAUGCACCUGACGCUAAGAGGCGAAAGCUAGGGGAGCGAACAGGAUUAGAGACCCUGGUAGUCCUAGCUGUAAACGCUGGGUGCUAGGUGUGGGACGUAGAAGUUCCGUGCCGGAGCAAACGCGAUAAGCACCCCGCCUGGGAAUUACGGUCGCAAGGCUAAAACUCAAACGAAUUGACGGGGCCCCGCACAAGCAGCGGAGCGUGUGGUUCAAUUCGAUGCUACACGAAGAACCUUACCUGGGUUUGACAUGUACGUGGUACGAAGGCGAAAGCCUAAGGACCCUUCGGGGAGCGUACACAGGUGCUGCAUGGCUGUCGUCAGCUCGUGCCGUGAGGUGUGGGUUAAGUCCAGUAACGAGCGCAACCCUUGCCCUUAGUUACAAGUGUGUAAGGGGACUGCCGGCGGGAAGCCGGAGGAAGGUGGGGACGAC